CCUACGGGAGGCAGCAGUGGGGAAUUUUCCGCAAUGGGCGAAAGCCUGACGGAGCAAUACCGCGUGAGGGAAGACGGCCUAUGGGUUGUAAACCUCUUUUUUCAGGGAGGAAUCAAUGACGUGUACCUGAAGAAUAAGCAUCGGCUAACUCCGUGCCAGCAGCCGCGGUAAGACGGAGGAUGCAAGUGUUAUCCGGAAUCACUGGGCGUAAAGCGUCUGUAGGUGGUUAAACAAGUCAACUGUUAAAUCUUGAGGCUCAACUUCAAAAUCGCAGUCGAAACUGUUUGACUAGAGUAUAGUAGGGGUAAAGGGAAUUUCCAGUGGAGCGGUGAAAUGCGUAGAUAUUGGAAAGAACACCGAUGGCGAAGGCACUUUACUGGGCUAUUACUGACACUCAGAGACGAAAGCUAGGGUAGCAAAUGGGAUUAGAUACCCCAGUAGUCCUAGCCGUAAACAAUGGAUACUAGAUGUUGAACAGAUCGACCUGUGCAGUAUCAAAGCUAACGCGUUAAGUAUCCCGCCUGGGAAGUAUGCUCGCAAGAGUGAAACUCAAAGGAAUUGACGG
rnacentral:rRNA from 1 species